UCCUCCAUAGCUCAGUCGGCAGAGCACUCGGCUGUUAACCGAGGUGUCGCAGGUUCGAGCCCUGCUGGAGGAG
rnacentral:tRNA from 1 species